rnacentral:rRNA from 1 species
UACGAAGGGGGCUAGCGUUGCUCGGAAUCACUGGGCGUAAAGCGCACGUAGGCGGCUUUCUAAGUCAGGGGUGAAUUCCUGGAGCUCAACUCCAGAACUGCCUUUGAUACUGGAGAGCUAGAGUCCGGAAGAGGUGAGUGGAACUGCGAGUGUAGAGGUGAAAUUCGUAGAUAUUCGCAAGAACACCAGUGGCGAAGGCGGCUCACUGGUCCGGUACUGACGCUGAGGUGCGAAAGCGUGGGGAGCAAACAGG